AUCAAGAGUGAAAUGCAUAUUUAUAUAUUGUCUGGCUAAAACUUCUCUUCCUUAGGGUACUAUAAUUUGUUGAAGGUUCAUUUUCCUUGCAGAUUGCUGACAGAACCACUUUUAAGAGCAUGGAGAGACUUUUUUUAAAACAACAAAUUACUUCUGGAUUCUUUAAAUUAGGAAACAAAAAGGAGGUGUAAGCCAAAUUUCCCCUCUUCCCUUUACGAGUCGUUGCCUGAGCACGUUUCAAAACACUUUUAUCUUAGAAGCCAGACCUAAUACCUGCUUCUCCUUUGCAGAGAAAUAAAAAGCCAGUGGUGAACUUCUUGUGCAUCCCUGUCGUGCUGCAGUAAACGCUUGCUCCUUCCCUGGGCCUCCUUAGCAGCAGUCCAGCCCACGAGUGUGGAGCAGCAGGAACUUUGCUGUCCUGGAGAACAGGGGAGGUACCUAAUGAUUGGAGAAAAGGCAGAGUCAUCCCAGCCUUCAAAAGAGGCAAGAGGAGGACCCAGGAAACUACAGGCCACUCAGCCUUGCCUUCAUGCCUGGAAAGGUGAUGGAAGAGCUCAUCCUGGAGGUCAUCUUGAAGUACAUGGAGGAAAAGAAGAUUACCAGGCUUAUUAAGUGAGUGAGAAGAGACUGUGACAGCAGACAAGAUUCUGUUUCUAAAGUUUAAGUGAACAUGGUGAUGUAACAGCAGCCCUGACCUCAGGCUAAGAAGGAGGAAUGGGCUUUGUCCUCUGACCAUGCCCAGCUAAUAGGGUCUGAAGGAGGAAGGCUGGGCAGAUGUGCUCUUGUAGACAGAGAAAGGGAAAAAGAACUGUAAAAAAGGCAAACAAAAGCAAAGUCACACC